GGAGGGGUGGUCGAGCGGUUGAUGGCUCCAGUCUUGAAAACUGGCAGGGUGAAAGCCCUCGUGGGUUCGAAUCCCACCCCCUCCGCCA
rnacentral:tRNA from 1 species